AUAUUUGACUAACAAAAUGCGUGUUAGCACAGCUUCCUGAUGAGCUGUCUUGCAAAUCUGUCCUAUGCUGCAGGCUUUGCAGUUCUGCUUAUAGUCCUGUGAUCAGAGACACUUCCUCCUGUGGCAGCUGAAUUCCACGUUUCCCGAAACAGGAUUUCCCUAUUUUGUAGAGAACUUCCAUGAUUGAAUCUUCCUGCUUCUGGAAAUAAAAUGGGUAGUCCCUUGCAUACAAAGCUUGGAGGGUGUCUCUCAUUCUUCUCUUCUUCUGCUUUUUCUCAUCUACCUGAGAAUAAUUUUAAAUGGAUCGAAGGAAUGAAUGUCAGCCACCAAACUGAGAAGUUGACUUGCCUUUAAUCACCUGUAACUUUGUUAGAAUAAUAAAUUCUGUAGAAAGCUAAU
rnacentral:lncRNA from 1 species